rnacentral:rRNA from 1 species
UACGAAGGGGGCUAGCGUUGCUCGGAAUUACUGGGCGUAAAGCGCGCGCAGGCGGUCUUCCAAGUCAGUGGUGAAAGCCCGGAGCUCAACUCCGGAACUGCCAUUGAAACUGUUGGACUUGAGUACGAGAGAGGUGAGUGGAAUUCCCAGUGUAGAGGUGAAAUUCGUAGAUAUUGGGAAGAACACCGGUGGCGAAGGCGGCUCACUGGCUCGUAACUGACGCUCAGGCGCGACAGCGUGGGGAUCAAACAGG